CAGGAACGUCAGCAUGGCAUUCAUGCGCCCCGCCUUGCGUCCAGGCGGGCCAGGCGCGCUUCCAGCGCCGCCGCCGAGCGCGCCAGCGCGUCGCUGUC
rnacentral:tRNA from 4 species